AGCCUGUGAGUGUGUUGGAUUGCACGCGACCCCGCGAAGGUCGUAGGCCAGGUUCGAUUCCUGGGCGGGUUAC
rnacentral:tRNA from 1 species